ACACUGUGUGUGAAUACGCUCCUAAAACACUCCUGCUAUCAUACGCUGGGACUGAAGCAGGCCUAUACAAGGUCAUGAUUAAAGUCAAUUGAUUUGGACAGAUUUUUUUUCUUCCUUUUGACUUGACAAGGGACUGACAUUGGGCUUACUCAAGAAGACAUGGACAACUGCAGCAAACUUAGUUACACAUCUUGCAAUUUCCCAUGCGGUCAUAGAAACUCACAUCUUCCUUUUUUUACUUCUGUAGAGGCUGCUUAUUGGCCAUUGUUCCAAUCCUCUACAUCAAAAGCCAUGCCUCGGUCCAUGACAGCAUCUUCUAUGGAGCCAGUCUACACGCCUUGAGGAACAGACACGGGGUGUUGUCCAGAGCCAUCCUGCCAGGUGCUCAGUCUCUCCACUCAAAAUGAUACCCCCCCAGGUAUUCUAAUUUUCUCCCCUUCUUCCUGAACUGUGCCCUAAAUUGCUCACUCACCCUCCUGUAUUUUUAAGUAUUGGAUUGAUGCAAUCAUGGGGGUUUCUAUCAUAAUUAUUUCACACCACCAGUCAAAUUUGUUUUUAUCCAUGAGGGGAGUGGGUUAAGGGCUGGGUUAGAGAAUUGUGCUGGGUUAGAGACUUGGGACGGGUUUGAUAACGUAAUGUACAAUAUGAUUUUAUUUUGUAAAGAAGGGUGUUUCUGAAUCUCUUUCUCCUGUGUUCAGGCAUUUUGUCAGGUCUGAUGUGGACAUUGGCCAAGGACUGGUUACUGGCUAACCACUACCUUAGUGCCGUGGUCACCUUUCCCAUUGUCUCUGCAAGGAUGCCCCUUGACAUAUCAUCGUUAGAUGACUCAUACUUGGCGUAGCACACAGCUUGUGUCUGUGUUUAGCGUUUGACAUUGAGAUUCCGUCUUGUCCUCUUACAGAAUAGAAUUUGUGCUAUUCGCCCAUUUUUUUGAGAAACCAUUACCAGGAAUGGUAACACAAAGUGGAGAACCUAACAACGGUCCUUCGGAAAAACCUAAGGUGUAUUUCAUCCUGUCAUUCAAUCAACCUUAAUUCAAAAGGUUUUCCUCAGUCCUUAGGGUUAUGGUCUAGUCGCAGCUCUGUGGGGAAGUCUGGUUUUCAAAGAAGUCAAGGGCCUGGUAAACGGCUUCAUCUUCAUAGUAGCGUCCUGUUUUGUCCUGACUGGAUCACUGCUGAUGGCCUUCUCCAAGGUGUAGUGGAACACUCAAUACACCACUAGGUGGCAACAUUAUACAUCAAUGGCCCUCCUGGAGGAGGCCUGGGGUGUAUUCAUGAGGUGAAAUGUUCUGAAUGUUAUCGAUUUGAAAGGACAGAAGCAAUUCACAGUCCCCUAUUCAUCUACCUCAGACAAUCAUAUCUGUUCGAGAACAUAUAUUUCUAUCUGAAAUAUAUGCUGUUUUCAUGUUUUGCUGCCAUGCUAUGUUGUCCUCUUAGGUCUCUUUAUGUAGUGUUGUGAUGUCUCUCUUGUCGUGAUGUGUGUUUUGUCCUAUAUUUUCUUUUAUUUAGCAUUUUUAAACCCAGCCACCGUCCUCGCAAGAGGCCUUUUGCCUUCUGGUAGGCAAUCAUUGUAAAUAAGAAUUUGUUCUUAACUGACUUGGCAGGUUAAAUUAAUAAUAAUAAUACACCCUCUGAACAGAGCCCUGUAUGGUGAAGUAUGUCUGUGAUAGUCCUUCAGUUUUGUCCGUGCGUCUAAUGGAGCACCUGUUCAAUUAGGGUUCAGCUGUUGCUGCUACUCGCUCUUCUGUUGUCAUGUUUUAAAUAACUCUCAAUAGAUUAAUUCAAUUGCAUUCAGAAUAUGUUGACAGGGAAGAUGUAUAUAUAACUUCCACAAUGUUUAUACAGUGCUGAUAUCAAUUUGUGGUGUUGUCUGUGGCACUUUUCUCUGAAUUUGAGUCAAACUUUUUUAUGAAAUGUGAAAAUCUAUGAACUUAAAAUAUUUAAAUCCUAAUAUUGGAACACACAGGUUUUUGAGCACUUCACUUUUUAAGGGAAACUGGUGGAGAAAGCAGUAACCCUAAUUGGUAUGCUAAUCUACAUUAUAAUUAGUUCCUGAAAAGUCAAUGACUUCUUUCCAUACACACAAAAAGCUUAUUUCUAUCAUUUUGUUCACAUUUGUUUAUAUCCCUAUUAGUGAGCAUUUCUUCUGUGCCAAGAUAAUCCAACCACAUGACAGGUGUGGCAUAUCAAGAAGCUGAUUAAAAAGCAUGAUCAUUACACAGGUGCCACUUUGUGCUGGUGACAAUAAAAGGACACUCUAAAAUGUGCAGUUUGUCACACAACAAAAUAGAUGUCUCAAGUUUUGAGGGAGCGUAUCAAUUGGCAUGCUGGAAUGUCCAACAGAGCUAUUGCCAGAAUUUGUUCAUUUCUCUACCACAAACCACCUCUAACAUCGUUUUAGAGAAUUUGGCAGUAAGUCCAACCGGCCUCACAACCGCAGCCCAGGACCUCCACAUUCAGCUUCUUCACCUGCGGGAACAUCUGAGGGGGAAAAACUCAUUCUGAUUGGCUGGUUGUUGGCUCUCAAGUGGGUGGGCCUGUGACCUCAUAGGCCCAACAAUGGCUGUACCCCUGUUCAGUCAUGUGAAAUCCAUAAACGAGGGCCAAAUUAAUUUAUUUCAACUGACGGAUUUCCUUCUAUGAACUGUAACUCUGUAACUGUAAAAUUGUGUAUUUUAGUUCAGUGUAUUUUGAAGUGGAACUUGGGGGACUGAAUCUGAUUUUUCUAUGUUAAAGCUUAAUGGAUGGAGAUGGGAACUAACCUACAAAUAUUUAGUUAAAGUUACCCUUGAAUAGAAGGUGAAACGUGCUUUUAUUCCGCUCUUUGCUUCUGAAUCUACAAUGGGCUUUUUAUUCAAAUGUAAAAGACCAGUACUUGAUGAAUACUAAUGACUUUUUGGGGUAUAUGACAAUGGAUCUUUUUUGUACUUUUGUUAGACUGUGAUGAAUCAGGGAAUAACACACUUCAGAAUCUGUGUAGCUAUAGCAGCCAUCCCCAGGCUACUUUUGACUAGGACCCCAGGGACAGCUUAAUCAGCUUUAAUCCUAGGAUUAAAGUCCCCUCUAUGUAUUCAUUAUGUAAAUUAGAACUUAUUAGUAAUGAGUUUGAAAAGAACUUGCAUGACCCUCUACUUUCAAAACCUCCCGGAUAAUUGUGAGAUGUGUACAUCAGGACAACAGGCAUUGUUUGAUGCUUUACCACUGGGACAAAAGAGUAGAUUCUGAAAUAACCUGUCGCUACUGUAUAGUGGGGUGUCAGGAUAUAGAAUAAUGUACAAUACAUUACAGUAUAGUGGCCAUGUACUUAGUGGAGUCCAAACAGAAGUGUUGAGAUAUCGAAUUAAUGAACUUUAUUUGCAGAUAUACGCAUCCCACAUUGAUGGCUUAUUAUUGACUGUAUUUAUCUUCUUUUUUUUAAAUAUGAAAGGGAAGGACAAUGUUGGCUCAAGUUCUUUGGGACAUUCUAAUUGCUCAGAAUUUGCAUUUGGUGUCCCUGCACAUACAGUGCAUUCAGAUCCCAUAUUCAGAUCCCUUGAUUUUUUUCCCACAUUUUGUUACGUUACAGCUUUAUUCUAAAAUUGAUUAAAUUGUUUUUUCAAUCUACACACAAUACCCCAUAGUGACAAAGUAAA